rnacentral:lncRNA from 1 species
CUCAAGACUGUUAGGAAACUCUCUUCUAGCUUUUAGAUUUAAACCAAAUUAGAUCUUCUAGGCUAUUGUGUAGUUGUUUCUUCUAAGGUGGACAUGACCAUUGCUGUCUUGAAUCAGCCACAGGAGACUCAUUGGAGGAAGGUGUAUAUCCAAGAGCAAAUUGACCAGAAGGACUCUUCCAUUACUGAAGCUGCCCAUGGAACUCAUCAGGAGUGCAGGUUCUUUGUGAAUCACCCACGCUCCAGGACUCCCAGAGAUAUGGGACCUUGUGUCUGUUCCCCAUCGGUUGCUGGAUGAAGUCUCUUUGAUGAGAUUAUUUUAGAUUCUGAUCCAGAACACUCUACAGGCAGAACAAACUGUAGGUGGAAGGUUUUGUGCCUGGGUUGGUGUCCCAGUCACUCCACUUGAGACUUUGACUAAUUACAGAAGACAGAAGAAUGUGUCCCCCAUUACUAGAAGUCUUUGCUAGAGUAAUUCUCAUAAAUUCCAUGGGGUUUCCAUUGCACUAGACUUCUACCUCAUCCCCAAAAUGGCCCCAAUUUGGGGGCAUUUUAAAUUCCACUUAGGGAAUAA